rnacentral:lncRNA from 1 species
GGAGGCUGAGGGAGGAAGUAGUGGAGGGUGGAGCCGCGUAGGGGAAUGUGGGAAGGGCAGCAAAAGAGGGUCAUAGACUGCUGGAGGCUGCAGAGGAUGUGUCCCUGGACUCCAACCUGGAGGAGCAUGUUGUCGCUGACACAUUGGGCACCAUACUGAACUGGUGCUUCAAGCAGAGGCUGCUCAACAACAGCCUCCAAGUUCAUGCUGGAUAAGGCCAACCUCAUGAUUGACACGCAGGGCUUCUCCUCCCAGAGCAUCCACAUCCUGAGGUGGAUCACAGAAACCUGCUUUUGGCACAGGAAAAUGCAAAAGGAGGGAGUAAGAAAGAACUGGGAGCAGAAGCGUGCAGCCCUCUGCAAUCUCUAUGGCAGCAUUUCCAGGCCUUAAUCUUCUGCCAGGUACAGCUCAUUUGCAAGCAGUGAGCUGCCAGUGAUCCAUCUGACAUGAUCAAUCCCCAGUGUGACAUCAGCAGUGCUUCAAAGAUCACCAGAAAUGAGGGAACAGGUGCAAGGGAUGGAUGGGAACAGUCAGAAUUAAAAGCUCAAAGUGGUAACAGCAUCUAAUAGUUGGAACCAUGUUUGCUUAGCUUUCAUGGUGGGCAUUAUGUGGAAACCAUGCUCUGUUCCCCCAGCCUUUGUGUUUUGUGUCUAACAAAAGCAUUUUGUGACUUCUUUCUCUUCUUUUUCUUUUUUUUUGCCUUAUUUUGAGGCUCUGCCUAUUCCAAAGCACCACAGCUGUGGAGAAAGGAAUACAAAAAGGUAUCUCAGGGAAUCCAUACCUAGUGACACAAAGAGAAGUGUGGAAGAAUCAAAGUCAUGGCCUGAGAAAAUUAUCUGGUCAGCAAUAUAAAAAAUGGAGAGAGCAGACAGUGUUUGUCAAGACCAGAAAUGUAGAUUUGUCAGUAAUCAAGCUACAAGAUGCUUGAGAUUUGGAUAUCUUUGUGAUGAGAGGGAAGAGCAUGUUAAGUGGUGCACAUUAGAUAAGCUAGGCAUCACUUGGAAACCUGUGUGCCAGGACCUCUUAGUGUCAUGCCUAGGCUGCUGCCAGGGUAGAGGUCCUGUCCACAGAAAGAAAGGAGCAAGACGUGGAAGGAAGGAGAGCCACAUUUUAACCUUGAGUUGAUGGCUAGAUAGCUAUGAGGAAGGAUCCUGGAGCAAUAACUUGGUCUACGGGAGUGAAACCAGAAGUGUAACUGGAUGUGAGUUCUCCUCUUUUGCUGUUGGCUUGUCGUGUGUGAAGUCCACCUCAAGUUGGGCAGAGCCAUGGCAGCCCUCAGUCUUGUUCUCCCAAGGGAUUCUGUAGCUUGGAAAGGUGUUUGAUGCUGGAACCAUGAAAGUAGGUUUAUGCUCCCACCCUAGCCCAGGAGAACAGCUGGGCUGGGUACACUUCCCAGUUCUGAGGCACACAGUUGGGAGAGGGCAGACCACUGCCUCUGCCCAUUUCUGUCUCUGCUUAAUGGCAGCAUGUCUUCUUCUUUCUGUCAAGACCCUGCUCAAGAAGUAGACUGUAAUUGUAAGGAAUUACAGAUUUUAUUUUAGGCAGUCAGUCUUGGGGGUCACAGUGUGGUGCCUUGAAAGACAUGGGUCAGAUAGCAGUGUUGCAGAAAAGCAGAUUUAUCCAGACAGGAUGUAUCCUUGCCUCCAGCCAUGACACUUGGGAAGCCCUCACUGCAAGCCAGCCAGAGCUGACUUACGUGUGCUUGCUA